rnacentral:lncRNA from 1 species
AGCCAUUUAAAGAUCGCUGUGAAUGGUUCUAUGAACAUUUGCAUUCAGGACAACCAGAUUCAGACAUGGUGCACAGGCCAGUAAAUGAAAAUGACAUUCUGCUGGUUCACAGAGGUAUGUUUAAAAAAGAAAAUGAUAUAUGUGUGAGGCACAAAGUACUUAUUAUUAUAAAUUUUAAUAUGUAAAAUUAACUAAUGCUACAUAUUUAGAUUCUAUUUUUAGGAGUAGCUGUGAAGUUGUAUCAAAAGCAAAUUGUGCAAAGCUAAAACAAGGGAUUGCUGUACGAUUCCAUGGAGAAGAAGGCAUGGUGGGUAUAAAAAUAAGUUAUUUGGAAAUCACUGUAUAUAAAAGAAACACAUUUGAAUGAAGCUUAAUAUUUAAUUGAUAAACAAAGAAAUUUAAUGUUUUAAUUUUGUUCUCAUUCAGAAAAAAAGUUUCCAGCAUAAUAUAUUUCUGUUGAUGCUAAAUUUCAUUUUCUUGAACCUUAGGGUCAAGGCGUUGUGCGAGAGUGG